AGGGAGAGAGAGGGAGAGAGAGAGACCCAAAAAAUGAAUGCGUUUAAACGGGAAGCCUAGCAAAGCAAUGUUUCCGAAAGGGGGAUCUGCGCGAAUGUCUGUAUAUAGUGAACUUUGACACUACUAUUGAAACUGACACGUUUCUAUGGAGAUCGCUGCCUUAUAUGGAGCUCGUGUCAAGGAGCCAAGAGAAGGGCUGCUGGCAACUGAUAAUCAAAGGCGACUGACUGGUCAGAGCCCUGAACUGGGGGGAGAGAAAAUGGGAGGCUAAGAUCUGAAAUAGGGAUUUAUCUUCCGCUUUCCAGGUGCAAAAGCCACUCCAGGGGUUUUAAUGAUGGAGAAGGAAACACGCGCUGCACGGAGGAGCAGGCGCCCGUAUAUGCACACCCUUGCAGACCACACGCGGCCGAGUCCACACACAUAUUCAAAUCCCCAUAUGUUCCCAUCCCACUUCGGGCUAUUUUUGCAGCCUGUCCCUCGUCCCUCACCCCUCAUUCCUCACCUAACAUGUCCACCCGCAGCCCCGCAGGGCUCCACGCUUCUCGCAUGGGUUUCACCUCUACCCUUUAAUUUUAUUUUGGGGGGUGUGUGAGCAGUCAGCAUAACCCCCACCGCCCUGCAGGCAGUGCCCUCCCCCUCGCUCCCCUUCCCCCGGCUCUCCUGAUGUCUCCAAGUGCUCCACGCGGGGAGGGGGGAUGCGCGGGGGGUUGCGGGGGUGUCAGUCCCCCCCUUGCCCUGCGCUCCCCUCCGCUGCCGGCCCGGGCCCCGGCCUCGGCGAGCGGGAAUCGCUGGCUCCGGCUGCCAUCUAGUGGGCACGGAGCCUCGGCCCGGGGGAGCCCGGCGAGCAGGGGGUUCCGCGCCUGUCUGCAGUCUUCCACCCCACCCCCUACUUUUACCAAAAAAAUGCAUCUCCCCUUUCUUAUUUUAAAUAGAAAACUGCACUGAGGAGAAGACCCUCUUCUUUUCAAUUUCUGUCUCUCUCACAAGCCGGCCUUAGAGGCAGCUUCCCUUUUGUCAGGGAUCUGAAAUUUGCCUUGGUUCGAAAGACUGCAUGUGACAAAGAAGAAGCAGACUGUAAAAACUGAACAGCUCCCCCCCGCCACAAAAAAUCCCACCAAAACUAAAAUCCCAGGCGCCUCUACUUGCCACCAUACCUUUCUCGUAGCUCCCAAUAAAGUUUAUAGUCAGAUUAGAAGGUGGAUGGAAAACCUGCAGAAGGAAAGUGAAUUAAAUAGGUGACAGAAAUUUUAUUGUUAUUAUUUAGUUUUGUAAAGUGAUGUUGCUUUAAUUAAAAGUAAAGAGAAAAAAAUAAGCCCGUCAAAUUUGAUGCAUAGUGAUAAUGAUAUUUUUUUUCUUUCCCUGUCGACUCUGAAAUCUGAGGCUGGGAGCCGCCUGAAGAAAAGAUUCCUUCAUCAUUUCUAAGAUCAGAAUAAUGCUUGAUUUUGUCCCGAAAUAAUGAAGAGAUUUUCAAUGAGCCCCUUGGCCAAGCCGUCUCUGUUGUAUAUUGCAUUGAUAAAAAGGAUGUUAUUGACUAUGCAACAGUAGGCUUCUUUCCUCUCUCUCGCUCUUUCCAAAUAAAGUCUCCGUCCUGUCUCUUGA